AAGAAUCUGGAAAGGAUUAUUGGUUAGUUCAAGGGGUUGACGCACUUAAAAAUGAUUGGUUUAAACCAUGAGGGUGUCACAAGGGGGGUAGUGCCAAGCUGCAGGGCUUCUACUUUAGAUAUUGGUCACCACACCUAGGUGGGGCCAUCUGGAAUUUCAGAUAUUUCGAUAUCUUGCUUGUCUUAGGUGAUCACCAUCUGCGGCUUUCCGGAGAACUCUUUCUACAGAGCUUUUCUGUGGUAUUUUCCUGACUUUAGGACUGCAGUAAGUCAGGGGUUAAGUUUCAGAGCAAAAUGAGGACCCAAGUAGAAUGAGGAUGCUUAGGUCUUUCACGGGCUCUCAGGAGCUCAGCCCUGGAGGGGAUGAGCUGGGAACAGACGUAGUGUUCGAGGGGCUUGUGGGUCCGAAGCCAUGGUUCCCUUCCCUUCCUGGGGUCCCCUGCUUGCCUGUCACACAGGUGGUAGGAGGAGGAAUGGAAAUGUCACCCAGCUCAUAUCUGGAGCCUUCAGAACACCCUUCUCACCUGUGGUGAAUCACACAGGCCAGGAGGAAGGAGACUCUGGGCUUGGCCCUGCCCCACACUUGGCCUAGGGUUUCUCUCUCCUCACUCCCUCCCUGAGGUGUCCCGUCCACCCCCCUGCCUCUGGUCUCCUUCACUGAUCUCUCUUCUUCAUGAGCAGCCAGGGCACCUGCUGGGCUUCCCAAGGACUUUCAGCAGGAGGAUGCGAGGAACCAUCUGGUGCUCCUGGGAUUUGGACUUCUGCCAUCAAGGCAAAGGUGUUUGUGCAAUCAGAGGGGAACGUGACCAUGAGGGACAGUCAGGGUGUGGCUGUUCUGGAAGAUUCCCACAGCCUAAUAACAAGGACUGCUGCAAGAGUCUGUCUUCACCAGGAGAAGUCCAGCCUGACUCCGGAGUUGGUGCCAGCAGCAGUGGUGCUCGGAGUACUUCAGGUGGCAGCUGGCUCUGCAGGGUCUAUGACUUCCACUGUGAGCUGACUUUGGGGCUAUCAUCUGCCUCAUUUCCUCAUGUGCCUGUCAAGAUGGCUGCGGAGACCUGGGAUCCUGAUCUUGGACUUCCCCACGGUCCUCCCCAUUGGUCUCACCAGGUUUCUCUCCUCUCACCUGGCUUGUCAAGUACCUGAGUCUGGAGCCGGAUUCCACACCCUCCUUUCUGGACAUCCAUGCUUGUCCAUCUGGGACAUCAUGGUCAGUUCUACAAACACCCACUGGAGACAGCAUGGCCUGCCCGGAUCUCACGUGGAACAGAGGAAGCCUUUAAGACUGCAGGGACAGUGGGAGACCCCAGGAGCAGCCCAGCAGCAUCCCCAGCCCCAGUUUCUAUCCCCAAGGACUGGACCCAGUGUGGGGCUGAAUGACCCAUGCCUUCCAUCCUGAAGCAAGAGGCUCUGAGGAUCACUACAUUUUGUGAUGCUUGAUUGUUGUCCCAGCCCAGGAAGUAGAAGGCAUGUCCAGGAGCUAUGCUCACCUAUUUCUUUGUAAUCCUACCCCUUUGCCCUGUUUGGGAUAGAAAGUUCCAUGGAAAUACCCUUUGUGCGUCCCCUUCUCUUGCUCUGCCCUUGGGUGUGGCCUCCCUAGAUGUCAGUCAACCUGCUGACAGCAGACAUCAUGAAGCUAGACUCAGUCCCCCGAAACCUGACCCCUUGCCUCAUUUGAAUGGCUUUGCCUCAGUAAAAGGGUUCGGCAAGUGCCCUCUCUUUUUCCAUGGACCUCUAAGGUCAGAGGAGCUGUCACAGGACCCAAAGAACAAGG